rnacentral:misc_RNA from 1 species
UCAAACUUGGUCAUUUAGAGGAAGUAAAAGUCGUAACAAGGUCUCCGUAGGUGAACCUGCGGAGGGAUCAUUACCGAGUGAAGGGCCUUCGGGUCCGACCUCCAACCCUUUGUGAAAUCGACCGCGUUGCCUCGGGGUCCCCGAGCCUGGCUCGGGCCCCGGUGGCCUACUCCAACUCUGCUUCAUUAAGCGUCUGAGUAUACUCGAGAAAUCGAAACAAAACUUUCAACAACGGAUCUCUUGGUUCUGGCAUCGAUGAAGAACGCAGC